UUCGGUGGUUAUAGCGUUGGGGAAACACCCGGUCCCAUUCCGAACCCGGUAGUUAAGCCCUUCUGCGCCGAUGGUACUGC
rnacentral:rRNA from 1 species